rnacentral:rRNA from 1 species
UACGUAGGUGGCAAGCGUUGUCCGGAAUUAUUGGGCGUAAAGCGCGCGCAGGCGGUUUCUUAAGUCUGAUGUGAAAGCCCACGGCUUAACCGUGGAAGGUCAUUGGAAACUGGCGGACUCGAGUCCCGGAGAGGAGAGUGGAAUUCCUGGUGUAGCGGUGAAAUGCGUAGAUAUCAGGAGGAACACCAGUGGCGAAGGCGGGUCUCUGGGCCGAUACUGACGCUGAGGAGCGAAAGCGUGGGGAGCGAUCCGG